GUACUGGCUUUACUGAUUCCUCCUUCUUGACGAACCGUGAUGUCAUUAAUUUGGUGUUGCGGGAAAUCAGGACUGUUACUUUGAAAAAAUUAGAGUGUUUAAAGCAGGCUAACGCUUGAAUACAUUAGCAUGGAAUAAUGAAAUAGGACGUUAAUCCUAUUUUGUUGGUUUCUAGGAUCGACGUAAUGAUUAAUAGGGAUAGUUGGGGGCAUUAGUAUUCAAUUGUCAGAGGUGAAAUUCUUGGAUUUAUUGAAGACUAACUACUGCGAAAGCAUUUGCCAAGGAUGUUUUCAUUAAUCAAGAACGAAAGUUAGGGGAUCGAAGACGAUCAGAUACCGUCGUAGUCUUAACCAUAAACUAUGCCGACUAGGGAUCGGAUGAUGUUAUUUUUAAUGACUC
rnacentral:rRNA from 1 species